GAGUUUGAUCCUGGCUCAGAACGAACGCUGGCGGCAUGCCUAACACAUGCAAGUCGAACGAACUCUUCGGAGUUAGUGGCGCACGGGUGCGUAACGCGUGGGAAUCUGCCCUUGGGUACGGAAUAACUCAGAGAAAUUUGUGCUAAUACCGUAUAAUGACUUCGGUCCAAAGAUUUAUCGCCCAAGGAUGAGCCCGCGUAAGAUUAGCUAGUUGGUGGGUAAAGGCCUACCAAGGCUACGAUCUUUAGCUGGUCUGAGAGGAUGAUCAGCCACACUGGGACUGAGACACGGCCCAGACUCCUACGGGAGGCAGCAGUGGGGAAUAUUGGACAAUGGGCGAAAGCCUGAUCCAGCAAUGCCGCGUGAGUGAUGAAGGCCUUAGGGUUGUAAAGCUCUUUUACCCGGGAUGAUAAUGACAGUACCGGGAGAAUAAGCUCCGGCUAACUCCGUGCCAGCCGCCGCCGU
rnacentral:rRNA from 1 species